GUUUUGAGUAAUAACUCACCGGAACAACAUCGUCAGCGUCCUUGACAUGGGAAUCCUCACCACGAUGAUGCUCUGGGUCGUGGAGCCCAUCCCCGAGAGGGAGGGCAUGCCUCCCCUUCCACCUCCGACUGAGGUUGCCUUCCCCGCCGCCAUUUUGGAUUGGCGGCUGAUCGAGUACGUGGGGCCGAACCCGGACGUCGACCGCCGCUCCUUCUGGUUUUUUGGGGAGGUCCGUGUUCCGCCUGAGGAACGAGUUGGCCGGGCGGCUGGCCAUCGACGUCGCCAACUUCAUCAUGUACCUCCGCACAGAAAUUGACUGGGUUACCCCACUCCUCGUCGACCUGCCGAGAAACUAUGAGACCCUCCUCAUCGUCGUCGUCGCCGCGGGGACGCCUGCCCAUGCGGCGCUGCAGUACCCGGAUGUCGAUGCAGAGUAGAGAGGGGAGAUACCCGGUUCGAAAAUUCUGAAACUGUUUGAACAACGGUGCGGUGAUAUUAGUCUGUAAUGCGUUUGACAAUGGCCACUACUUCAACGUUGCCAGCUGCAUUUCUCUUAGGUGUUGUGUUGACACAGAUGUGGUGGUUCUUGCAGUGAGUUGAACACUAGAGUUUUGUUAUUCUGCUGAAAGUUUCAGUCCACCAGCAGAAAAUAAAUUUCUGAUUCGACAACGAUCGAAUUCUGAAUAUGGCGACCCUA